AAAGUAUGAAGUAAAUUUUACAAUUAGUUUCGACCUAAAAUUAGGGAGAAUAACCCCUUACUUAACUU
rnacentral:tRNA from 1 species